CAGAGUAUGGCUGCGGUUAUGGGUGGACCCAGUAGAAAGCCCCUCGGUAAUAACCAGGUCCAGAGUAUGGCUGCGGUUAUGGGUGGACCCAGUAGAAAGCCCCUCGGUAAUAACCAGGUCCAGAGUAUGGCUGCGGUUAUGGGUGGACCCAGUAGAAAGCCCCUCGGUAAUAACCAGGUCCAGAGUAUGGCUGCGGUUAUGGGUGGACCCAGUAGAAAGCCCCUCGGUAAUAACCAGGUCCAGAGUAUGGCUGCGGUUAUGGGUGGACCCAGUAGAAAGCCCCUCGGUAAUAACCAGGUCCAGAGUAUGGCUGUGGUUAUGGGUGGACCCAGUAGAAAGCCCCUCGGUAAUAACCAGGUCCAGAGUAUGGCUGUGGUUAUGGGUGGACCCAGUAGAAAGCCCCUUGGUAAUACAGAGUUAUGCAGGGUUAUGGCCAGCACUGGUGGGUAACAUUUAAACAGUACAGCAUGAUGCUCA